GAGUGAACGCUGGCGGUAGGCCUAACACAUGCAAGUCGAACGGCAGCCCAGUAAGAGCUUGCUCUUACGGGUGGCGAGUGGCGGACGGGUGAGGAAUACAUCGGAAUCUACUUUUUCGUGGGGGAUAACGUAGGGAAACUUACGCUAAUACCGCAUACGACCUACGGGUGAAAGCAGGGGAUCUUCGGACCUUGCGCGAUUGAAUGAGCCGAUGUCGGAUUAGCUAGUUGGCGGGGUAAAGGCCCACCAAGGCGACGAUCCGUAGCUGGUCUGAGAGGAUGAUCAGCCACACUGGAACUGAGACACGGUCCAGACUCCUACGGGAGGCAGCAGUGGGGAAUAUUGGACAAUGGGCGCAAGCCUGAUCCAGCCAUACCGCGUGGGUGAAGAAGGCCUUCGGGUUGUAAAGCCCUUUUGUUGGGAAAGAAAAGCAGCAGGUUAAUACCCCGCUGUUCUGACGGUACCCAAAGAAUAAGCACCGGCUAACUUCGUG
rnacentral:rRNA from 1 species